rnacentral:misc_RNA from 1 species
CUGUCUUGCUCUGAGGAGGUGUGUUAUCAGUUUCUCUCAUCAGCGACAACAAUUGAAAGUUCGUGUGGUCGUAAUUCGACUGCUACAUUUAGGAAGCCACUAUGCUUGGAUGUUAAAGGUCCAUUCGCCUAUGGCAUCUACAAGUGGGCUCUUCCAGUCAUUUCCAGCAAUUCAGUAGCGGUCAAAAUCCUUUAUCCCAUCUUUUGGGGAUUAAUGACUCUCAGCACCUUUGGCAAUGAUCUGGAGCCUACCAGUAAUUGGCUCGAAGUAUGCUUCAGUAUUUGCACGG